rnacentral:rRNA from 1 species
CAAUAGCAUAUAUUAACGUUGUUGCAGUUGAAAAGCUCGUAGUUGAACUUUUGGUAGGAGCGACCUGGCCUUGGGCGCAUGCCCUUGUUUGCCGUGUGUCGUAUCUGGCCAUCCUUUUCCGUUUCGGCGGGAAUCCUUUACUGUGAGUAAACUGGAGUGCUCAAAACAAGACGUUUGUUUGGUACAUUAAAGCAUGGAAUAAUAAGAUAGGACCUGGUUACUAUUUUGUUGGUUUGCAUAGCUAGGUAAUGAUUAACAGGGACAGUUGGGGGUAUUCGUAUUUAAUUGUCAGAGGUGAAAUUCUUGGAUUUAUGAAAGACGAACGACUGCGAAAGCAUUUACCAAGGAUGUUUNCAUUAA